GCCUCUGUAGCUCAGUGGCAGAGCACUGGUCUUGUAAACCAGGGUCGUGAGUUCAAUCCUACUAGGAGGCA
rnacentral:tRNA from 1 species